rnacentral:rRNA from 1 species
GAAACUUACGCUAUACCGCAUACGACCUACGGGUGAAAGCAGGGGAUCUUCGGACCUUGCGCGAUUGAAUGAGCCGAUGUCGGAUUAGCUAGUUGGCGGGGUAAAGGCCCACCAUGGCGACGAUCCGUAGCUGGUUGAGAGGAUGAUCAGCCACACUGGAAAUGAGACACGGUCCAGACUCCUACGGGAGGCAGCAGUGGGGAAUAUUGGACAAUGGGCGCAAGCCUGAUCCAGCCAUACCGCGUGGGUGAAGAAGGCCUUCGGGUUGUAAAGCCCUUUUGUUGGGAAAGAAAUCCAGCCGGCUAAUACCUGGUUGGGAUGACGGUACCCAAAGAAUAAGCACCGGCUAACUUCGUGCCAGCAGCCGCGGUAAUCGAAGGGUGCCAGCGUUACUUGGAAUUACUGGGCGUAAAGCGUGCGUAGGUGGUUGUUUAAGUCUGUUGUGAAAGCCCUGGGCUCAACCUGGGAACUGCAGUGGAAACUGGACAACUAGAGUGUGGUAGAGGGUAGCGGAAUUCCCGGUGUAGCAGUGAAAUGCGUAGAGAUCGGGAGGAACAUCCAUGGCGAAGGCAGCUACCUGGACCAACACUGACACUGAGGCACGAAAGCGUGGGGAGCAAACAGGAUUAGAUACCCUGGUAGUCCACGCCCUAAACGAUGCGAACUGGAUGUUGGGUGCAAUUUGGCACGCAGUAUCGAAGCUAACGCGUUAAGUUCGCCGCCUGGGGAGUACGGUCGCAAGACUGAAACUCAAAGGAAUUGACGGGGGCCCGCACAAGCGGUGGAGUAUGUGGUUUAAUUCGAUGCAACGCGAAGAACCUUACCUGGCCUUGACAUGUCAGAGAACUUUACGCAGAGAUGGAUUGGUGCCUUCGGGAACUCGAACACAGGUGCUGCAUG